UGCUCUGUGUCUUAGUUGGCUAAAGCGCCGGACUAACAAUACGGUGUCUUAGGCUCGACUCCUACCAAAACAA
rfam:Aedes albopictus isolate Foshan contig151341, whole genome shotgun sequence.